rnacentral:rRNA from 1 species
AGAGUUUGAUCAUGGCUCAGGACGAACGCUGGCGGCGUGCCUAACACAUGCAAGUGGAGCGACGAACCAGGGCUUGCCCUGGGGCUAAGCCGCGAACGGGUGAGUAACACGUGGGUAACCUGCCCCGAUGACCGGGACAACCCGAGGAAACUCGGGCUAAUACCGGAUGUGGUGUCCACACAUAAGUGUGUCCACUAAAGGAAGCUUCGGCCUCCACAUUGGGAUGGGCCCGCGGCCCAUUAGCUUGUUGGUGGGGUAAUGGCCUACCAAGGCAACGAUGGGUAGCUGGUCUGAGAGGACGAUCAGCCACACUGGGACUGAGACACGGCCCAGACUCCUACGGGAGGCAGCAGUGGGGAAUCUUGCGCAAUGCGCGAAAGCGUGACGCAGCAACGCCGCGUGAGGGAAGACGGCCUUCGGGUUGUAAACCUCUUUCAGGAGGGACGAAGGUCCGCCCGCGAAUAGCGAGGCGGAUUGACGGUACCUCCAGAAGAAGCCCCGGCUAACUACGUGCCAGCAGCGGCGGUAAUAC